AAUCCAUGCAUUAGACAUUUUUGACGUAAUUCUUUAAAUCGUUCCCAAGCAUCAUAUAUCGUUUCAUCCUCUGAUUUUCAAAAAGAUGUGAUGCCAUUUCUAAUCUU
rnacentral:snoRNA from 1 species